UAUCUUUUCUCUUCUUCAUCAUAUUUGUUUGGUUUGUAACAAAAUAUAAGUACAUGAAAUUGGUCGCAUAUAAUGAAGAGUUUGACAUAUGGAGCAAAAUAUGGUGGCGGAUCUACUUGCAAAGGAAGAUGGUAGAAGGAAAAAAAAUGAAGUAUAAUUAGAGAUUAUUUUUGCUAGAUUUUUUUUUUCACUUUGACUUGUAUUAGUAACUUAGUUACUUUUGCUAGAAUUUUUUAAAUUUUGGGUUGUAUAAAUAAUUUAGCUAAAUGUAUUGUCAACGCUAAUCAUUUGAUCCUUUACUAUUCUACUUUUUCUUUGUUAUGAAGCAAAAUUAAUAUAAUUAUCACAUUUCAGCAA